AACACAUGCAAGUCGAGCGGAAACGAGUUAUCUGAACCUUCGGGGGACGAUAACGGCGUCGAGCGGCGGACGGGUGAGUAAUGCCUAGGAAAUUGCCCUGAUGUGGGGGAUAACCAUUGGAAACGAUGGCUAAUACCGCAUGAUGCCUACGGGCCAAAGAGGGGGACCUUCGGGCCUCUCGCGUCAGGAUAUGCCUAGGUGGGAUUAGCUAGUUGGUGAGGUAAGGGCUCACCAAGGCGACGAUCCCUAGCUGGUCUGAGAGGAUGAUCAGCCACACUGGAACUGAGACACGGUCCAGACUCCUACGGGAGGCAGCAGUGGGGAAUAUUGCACAAUGGGCGCAAGCCUGAUGCAGCCAUGCCGCGUGUGUGAAGAAGGCCUUCGGGUUGUAAAGCACUUUCAGUCGUGAGGAAGGCGGGUACGUUAAUAGCGUAUUCGUUUGACGUUAGCGACAGAAGAAGCACCGGCUAACUCCGUGCCAGCAGCCGCGGUAAUACGGAGGGUGCGAGCGUUAAUCGGAAUUACUGGGCGUAAAGCGCAUGCAGGUGGUUUGUUAAGUCAGAUGUGAAAGCCCGGGGCUCAACCUCGGAAUAGCAUUUGAAACUGGCAGACUAGAGUACUGUAGAGGGGGGUAGAAUUUC
rnacentral:rRNA from 1 species